rnacentral:rRNA from 1 species
GCNGGUUACGAAUUCGCCCUUGAGUUUGAUCAUGGCUCAGGAUGAACGCUAGCGGCAGGCUUAACACAUGCAAGUCGAGGGGCAGCAUGUCCAGCAAUGGAUGAUGGCGACCGGCGGAAGGGUGCGUAACGCGUGAGCAACAUGCCCUAUACAGGGAGAUACACCAGGGAAACUUGGUCUAAUAUCCCAUAGCAUUCAUUGAAGGCAUCUUUAAUGAAUUAAAGCUUCGGUGGUAUAGGAUUGGCUCGCGUGACAUUAGCCAGAUGGUGAGGUAACGGCUCACCAUAGCAAUGAUGUCUAGGGGUUUUGAGAGGAAGGCCCCCCACACUGGGACUGAGACACGGCCCAGACUCCUACGGGAGGCAGCAGUGAGGAAUAUUGGACAAUGGAUGGAAAUCUGAUCCAGCCAUGCCGCGUGCAGGAAGACGGCCUUAUGGGUUGUAAACUGCUUUUAUACGGGAGCAAUAAGGGUUACGAGUAAUCCGAUGAGAGUACUGUAUGAAUGAGGAUCGGCUAACUCCGUGCCAGCAGCCGCGGUAAUACGGAGGAUCCGAGCGUUAUCCGGAAUUAUUGGGUUUAAAGGGUGCGUAGGCGGCCAUUUAAGUCAGCGGUGAAAUUUUGCAGCUUAACUGUAACAGUGCCGUUGAUACUGUUUGGCUAGGAUUUGGUUGUAGUGUGCGGAAUGUGUGGUGUAGCGGUGAAAUGCUUAGAUAUCACACAGAACACCGAUUGCGAAGGCAGCACACUAAGUCAUUAUUGACGCUGAGGCACGAAAGUGUGGGGAUCAAACAGGAUUAGAUACCCUUGUAGUCCACACUGUAAACGAUGAUAACUCGCUGUCGGCGAUACA